rnacentral:rRNA from 1 species
GACGAACGCUGGCGGCGUGCCUAAUACAUGCAAGUCGAACGCAGUGGGGACGGGUGAGUAACACGUGGGUAACCUCCCAUCAGAGGGGAUAACACUUGGAAACAGGUGCUAAACCGAUACUGAUGGAUGGACCCGCGGUGCAUUAGCUCGUUGGUGGGGUAACGGCUCACCAAGGCCACGAUGCAUAGCUGAGCUGAGAGGGGGAUCGGCCACACUGGGACUGAGACACGGUCCAGACUCCUACGGGAGGCAGCAGUAGGGAAUCUUCGGCAAUGGACGAAAGUCUGACCGAGCAACGCCGCGUGAGUGAAGAAGGUUUUCGGGUCGUAAAGCUCUGUUGUUGGAGAAGCGGUAUCUAACCAGAAAGCACCGGCUAACUACGUGCCAGCAGCCGCGGUAAUUC